rnacentral:rRNA from 1 species
CAAAAACAUGUCCUCUUGAUUUAAAUUUUGAGGUCUGGCCUGCUCACUGAUAAAUUUAAAGAGCCGCGGUAUUUUGACCGUGCAAAGGUAGCAUAAUCAUUAGUCUCUUAAUUAGGGGCUGGAAUGAAUGGCUUAACGAGAAAUUAACUGUCUCUUAAUAAUUUAUAUAAUUUAACUUUUGAGUUAAAAGGCUUAAAUUUUUUUUAAGGACGAGAAGACCCUAUAGAGCUUAACAUUUCAUUUAUAUAUAUUUUUUAGUUUGUCUUUUUAUAUUUAAUGAUAAUGUUUUGUUGGGGUGACAUGAAGAAUAAAUAAACUCUUCAUUAUAAAAUCAUUAAUUUAUGUUUAUUUUGAUCCAUAAUUUAUGAUCAUAAGAUUAAGUUACCUUAGGGAUAACAGCGUAAUUGUUUUUGAGAGCUCAUAUCAACAAAGCAGAUUGCGACCUCGAUGUUGGAUUAAGAAAAAUUUUGGGUGU